UGUCCGAUCAACAUAUUUUGUCAUUUCAAAGAAAGUGAGGUCAUAAUUCCGACCUAAAAGUAUCUUAAUGAAAUUAGUCAUGAAGCAAUUUACAAUCAAAUGAUUAUUCUUGUUUUAUUGACAAAGUGAUGCAGAAGAAAAUUUCAAGAUUGACAGAGUAUCCCAGGAAUGCAGCAGAGAUGUGUCUGUUCUUGAGAGAGUGUAAUAUGAUAUCUAAGUUUCACCUGAAGUGGAGUUGAUGUUCUUGCCGCAGUGAUUUUCCUUUUGGUACAUUGAAAAUUGAAAUUAUAACAUGGGAUGCAGUAUUGAUGACAGAUCUCAAAAUGCUGAGCCUUAUGAAGGAAAUAACAGAGGACCAAGGCACAAGGCCCGGAAUUUUGGGGGAUGGGACCAGUUGAUUGGAUUGACCACAGUACACAACUGGUACAUAAUUUAUCAACCCCGAAAGAAUGAAAGGUAAAGUUGACCCCCAGCAGAAUUUGAACUCAGAAUGCAAAGAUGGACAAAAUACCACUAAGUAUACUCCAGAAGCUCAUGCAUACAAUUGGAGAUACAAAUUUCUCCUUUAGGAAGAAUUGAAACAAGGCAAAAUUAAGAUAUAUUGAAAAGAAGAAACAAUAAAUACAGUCUUUUAUAGCAGAUGAGAAAAAUGUGAGAUAAUUUGAAGAAAAUUGGAAAGUAAAUGUAAGACAAUGUACAACUGUAAAUGAUGUAUAGACUUUGAA